UUUGUGCAGGUUCAUAAAUCUGACGAAAGUGUUGUUAGAAGUAGAAAAUGAAGCCUCCACAAAAAUAGCAUUAGUGCACACAUAAUUAUUCUUCAGGAAGCCAGAUAAUAUUCACAAUUUACUAGUAUUGGAUUUUAUCAGUGGCAUUGUACAUUUCAUAAAUAACUCGUACAGUCCCUGAAACAUUCUACUUUCCCACUUCAACAGUGAACGCACGGUGAGCGAACAAUGAAUGCACGCAGAGCGAACGCUGAACGCACGAUGAUCCCAUGCAGAGUGAACAGUGAACACAAUUUGGUGAACAGUGAAAAGGUCUAAAAUUCUUGUCAAGUGAGACAAAAUAAUAGUAAUAAAUUGUUUGAGGGUU